rnacentral:lncRNA from 1 species
GCCUCCUGAAGUGUUUGGGGGAACUCCCGGGUUCACUUGAUAUUACAUGUACAAACACGCUCAAUAUAAUCAUAUACCGCGAUUCUACUAUCAGUCUUAAUCCCAAUCACUCCCUCAAGAAUAGGACACAUGAAUAGAGUGAAUCCGUCAGAGAAUACCCCAUAAUGAGCUGACAAAACACUAUUAAUCAAUCAUCAAUUACCAGUCCAAAUCUAACAAGUAUAAUCAUGUGUCACCUCCACGGACUUCGUCAUACUCUACUUAUUCUUAUUUAACCGACCUAUUUGUACCCAACUACAUUCUAUUUCCUUGGGACCAAGGGCCUCUCGGCUGCUCCAUUUUUAUCUCAUCUUUUCAAAUCUAAAGGACAGGACCCAAGGGCUGGAAUGCGGAGGGAAGGGAGAGGGAGACACACUAUUGAGCCAUUUGAUUUGAAAGUUUAAGAUUUUAGAGGAUCACGGAUAUAUCAUUCAAAUUUUGUUUUCUAAGCACCUCCUCAGGUGUAGGCAAGGGUACAUUUUUCUUAACAAAACCUAUUACAUACACGAUUUUAUUAAAUGGAUGGCAACGAAAGUACAACUCAGAAUUUUUUGUUAACG